rnacentral:misc_RNA from 1 species
ACAAAACACCCCUCUAGUAAGAACAAUUACACAAACAACUCUUGAAAUGUAUUUUAUAGUGAAUAUUAAUUAAUCCAUACAAUAUUGUAGCAGCAAAACAGCAAAUUGCUAUUGCUAAAAUUAUAAAAACAUGCAUCAAAGGCAUAAUUUUUACCAAGGAAACAAGUUAAACAUGGGAAUUCUUUUAGAAAAAGAAGAAGAUUUUACUGAAUAAGGCAAAGAAAAGUACAAAAAAGUUAAACAUCUGAAGAAAGAUAAGUAGGAAAAACUUCAAACAAAGAAGUGGAUUUUGAAUCAUUCACAGAUAUUUCUUUUAUCAACAUUUGUAUUCAGGUAUA